AGAAGAGCGCAUCUCAUUUCCCUCUCCCUUUUUUAUACCGAUAGUAGUAAGCUGUGUAAGUGACGCAUAUAAACGUUUAUAAGUAGUUCUGUGCAUAUAGUAAUAAUUAGGCUAUUUACUUUCGCUUUUAAGCAGUAUUUAUAAAGUAGCCUAAUGUAUAUACCGUAAAAAAUAAAAAAUAAGUUACUUUUUUUUUUACCGAGGCACGCAACCGUCUCCGAGUUCCAGAAUAAAAUGCUUUGAGCUGAAGCGCAACAUCCGCCCGUUGCCAUCAUGAAGACCGGCUGCGGAGUCGCUCUCUACCGUACGCCGGGCCCUGAUUGGAUGGAAUUACCACCUGUGACGUCAGGUGACCUCGAUUGAUCGCAGGAGGCGGAGCCCAGUGACAACUCCGUGGAGUACACAGAGCGGACUACAACAUCUCCCUAAAGAACUACAACCCCCACAGAGAGUAUCACAGAGAAGGUGACCACAACCCCCUGAUCCUAACCCUCCUCUACUUCAGGACUACAACAUCUCCCUAAAGAACUACAACCCCCACAGAGAGUAUCACAGAGAAGGUGACCACAACCCCCUGAUCCUAACCCUCCUCUACUUCAGGACUACAACGUCUCCCUAAAGAACUACAACCCCCUGAGCUCCACAGGACUACAACGUCUCCCUAAAGAACUACAACCCCCAGGGUUCCGAGCGGAGCGGCCAUGAACGCAGAGACCCAGGUGAAGUGUGUGCUGGUGGGGGACAGUGCUGUCGGGAAGACGGCCCUCCUGGUUCGCUUCACCUCAGAGACCUUCCCUGAGUGCUACAAACCAACUGUGUAUGAGAACACUGGAGUAGAGGUGUUCAUGGACGGGACUCCGGUAGGAAAAAUACAUUAACUACUACAAUAAUACCCUUUACAUCAUUAACCUACUACAAUAAUACCCUUUACAUCAUUUACCUACUACAAUAAUACCCUUUACAUCAUUAACCUACUACAAUAAUACCCUUUACAUCAUUAACCUACUACAAUAAUACCCUUUACAUCAUUUACCUACUACAAUAAUACUCUUUACAUCAUUUAACUACUACAAUAAUACCCUUUACAUCAUUAACCUACUACAAUAAUACACUACAAAUCAUUUAACUACUACAAUAAUACACUUUACAUCAUUUAACUACUACAAUAAUACCCUUUACAUCAUUAACCUACUACAAUAAUAUCCUUUACAUCAUUAACCUACUACAAUAAUACCCUUUACAUCAUUAACCUACUACAAUAAUACCCUUUACAUCAUUAACUACUACAAUAAUACCCUUUACAUCAUUAACCUACUACAAUAAUACACUACAAAUCAUUUAACUACUACAAUAAUACCCUUUACAUCAUUAACCUACUACAAUAAUACCCUUUACAUCAUUAACCUACUACAAUAAUACCCUUUACAUCAUUAACCUACUACAAUAAUACCCUUUACAUCAUUAACCUACUACAAUAAUACCCUUUACAUCAUUUAACUACUACAAUAAUACACUACAAAUCAUUUAACUACCACAAUAAUACCCUUUACAUCAUUAACCUACUACAAUAAUACCCUUUACAUCAUUUAACUACUACAAUAAUACACUACAAAUCAUUUAACUACCACAAUAAUACCCUUUACAUCAUUAACUACUACAAUAAUACCCUUUACAUCAUUAACUACUACAAUAAUACCCUUUACAUCAUUAACCUACUACAAUAAUACCCUUUACAUCAUUAACCUACUACAAUAAUACCCUUUACAUCAUUAACUACUACAAUAAUACCCUUUACAUCAUUUAACUACUACAAUAAUACACUACAAAUCAUUUAACUACUACAAUAAUACCCUUUACAUCAUUAACUACUACAAUAAUACCCUUUACAUCAUUAACUACUACAAUAAUACCCUUUACAUCAUUUACCUACUACAAUAAUACCCUUUACAUCAUUAACUACUACAAUAAUACACUACAAAUCAUUAACCUACUACAAUAAUACCCUUUACAUCAUUAACCUACUACAAUAAUACCCUUUACAUCAUUAACUACUACAAUAAUACCCUUUACAUCAUUAACUACUACAAUAAUACCCUUUACAUCAUUUAACUACUACAAUAAUACCCUUUACAUCAGGGCUGUUCAACUGGCGGCCCGCGGACCAGAUCCGGCCUGUUUAUUCAUUUAGACUGGUCCUUAUGAGCGUUAAUGAAAAUCCCCCGUUCAGCGCCAAGCAAUAUGGUGAUUGUCUGUCGUGUUGGUUGAUAGCGGUUUCUAGAGCUUAUUUAGUCGGCACGUUGAUGAUCUGUUUUCUUCAUAUGAAUUUGGUUUCCAGAGUUUUGUGAAUGUUUUUUAAAAUAUAAAACAUGGGACUCUUUAGAGACGGGGACAAUUUGACCUCAUGGCUGAGGGAAAGGAAUUCAAAUGAUUUUUUUGUAUUUAUUUUUUGUUUUAUAUAUAUAUAUAUAUAUCAUUUGUAUUUAUUGUAAAUAAGAAUUUAAUUAUUAUUUAAGAAUUGGAUCUUCAAUAUAUAUAUACAUUUUAACCUUUUUUAUUUAACUAGGCAAGUCAUUUAAGAACAAAUUCUUAUUCACAAUGACGGCCUACCGAGGAACAGUAGGGUUAACUGCCUUG